rnacentral:rRNA from 1 species
GAUCCUGGCUCAGAAUCAACGCUGGCGGCGUGCCUAACACAUGCAAGUCGAACGCGAAAGUCCCGCAAGGGAUGAGUAGAGUGGCAAACGGGUGAGUAACACGUGGGUGACCUGCCUUCGAGCGGAGGAUAACGUCCCGAAAGGGACGCUAAUACCGCAUAACAUCCUGCCUUUGAAGAGGUGGUGAUCAAAGCUGGGGAUCGCAAGACCUAGCACUCGAAGAGGGGCCCGCGUCCGAUUAGCUAGUUGGUGAGGUAAUGGCUCACCAAGGCAACGAUCGGUAGCCGGCCUGAGAGGGCGGACGGCCACACUGGGACUGAGACACGGCCCAGACUCCUACGGGAGGCAGCAG